UGGGGAAUAUUGCGCAAUGGGGGAAACCCUGACGCAGCGACGCCGCGUGUGGGAUGAAGGUCUUCGGAUUGUAAACCACUGUCGCGAGGGACGAAGCUCUGACGGUACCUCGAAAGGAAGCACCGGCUAACUCUGUGCCAGCAGCCGCGGUAAUACAGAGGGUGCGAGCGUUGUCCGGAAUCACUGGGCGUAAAGGGCGCGUAGGCGGCCCGGUAAGUAGGGGGUGAAAUCUCAUGGCUCAACUGUGAGGCUGCCUUCUAGACUGCCAGGCUUGAGCACAGUAGAGGCGAGUGGAAUUCCCGGUGUAGCGGUGGAAUGCGUAGAGAUCGGGAAGAACAUCGGUGACGAAGGCGGCUCGCUGGGCUGUUGCUGACGCUGAGGCGCGAAAGCGUGGGGAGCAAACAGGAUUAGAUACCCCCGUAGUCCCUGAGCGGGCUGGCAAGGCGCAU
rnacentral:rRNA from 1 species